rnacentral:tRNA from 2 species
GCCCUAUUGGCCAAGCGGUAAGGCGUCGCACUUGUAAUGCGAAGAGCGGUUGUUCGAUUCAGCCAUAGGGCA